CGAAAGGUAUGCUAAUACGGGAUAAUAUAUUUGAGAGGCAUCUCUUAAAUAUCAAAGGUGAGCCAGUACAGGAUGGAUCCGCGUCUGAUUAGUUAGUUGGUAAGGUAACGGCUCAACAAGGCGACGAACAGUAGCCGACCUGCUAGGGUGAGCGGCCACAUUGGAACUGAGAUAAGAUCCACACUACUACGGGCGGCAGCAGGUGGGAAUACUGCACACUGGGCCAAAGACGGAUGCAGGACAAAUGUGAAUGGAGCGAAAGCGUUCGGGUCG
rnacentral:rRNA from 1 species